rnacentral:rRNA from 1 species
UACAGAGGUCUCAAGCGUUGUUCGGAUUCAUUGGGCGUAAAGGGUGCGUAGGUGGCGUGGUAAGUCGGGUGUGAAAUUUCGGAGCUUAACUCCGAAACUGCAUUCGAUACUGCCGUGCUUGAGGACUGGAGAGGAGACUGGAAUUCAUGGUGUAGCAGUGAAAUGCGUAGAGAUCAUGAGGAAGACCAGUGGCGAAGGCGGGUCUCUGGACAGUUCCUGACACUGAGACACGAAGGCCAGGGGAGCAAACGGG